UAUCAUGUUUUACAAGAUGAAUUCUGAAAAGUCCAUCACAUUUUGAGAGGAUUUCAGGAUUAUAAAUUUUAUUUGCUAAGUUACUAUCCUACAAUACAGGUCUCGCUUCUGAGUUCAUAAUUUUUUCUUUCUUCAAAUGGUUUAGCUUCCACUUCCAAGCCUAGUCAUGAAGAAGUGCAUCUGAGGUCACUGGAUUUCCGCUCUCCUUUGCGAGCUGUCUAGAGCAUUCACCAGAGCUGAAGCAUCCUGGGAGUCCAGGGGAAACAGGAAGGGUGCAAGAGGAAAACACAGCCAUACAGCCCUGCCUUUGAGGCUGGAGGUGAGGCCCAGAGCUCCUCCUCCUCUGAGGCCAGCAGUGGUUCAGAGCUGAGCGAGGAAUUCCUAAGAAACCCAGCCAGGGCCUCGAGGGGCCUCAGCACCAGAGCCACUGCAUCUCUCUGUCCAGAUGCCCACAACAGUUCCAGCGUGCUUAAUGUGGCCUUGCUGUGACUUACAGCCCAGAACCUCCAGCUGGAGCAACAGAGCUGUGCCCCCGGGACCCUUCCUCUUAGCUGGAUGCCCUUGGGACACUCCGGACCAGGACCACCUGCUUCCUCUUUGUUCCCUGCUCUCUGAAGUUGGUGCCUCUCCUGACCCCAGCUCUCUUGGCCAGAAUAACAAGGACGCCUGGUGAACUUGGAAAGUAAACUUUGUUCUUAGUUAUGCAAACUGACAAUUUGAAUAUUUAGUGACAUGUAAAUAAUCAUUGUGAUGUAGAACGAUCUAAUAAUAUAUCACACAUGUACAUGUUAGACAGAGAUGCGAACGGCCUGAAUGUGGAGCCUUCCGAAACUCAUGCUGAAAUGUGACUGUCAUGAGGACAAAAACGGAAGCUUGAGAGAGAGCAAGAAGGCCUUGGGCAGAGACCAACACCUCGAUAACGGGCUCCACAGCCCCAAGAAGUCUGAAGCAAGACAUUUCCAUCCAUUAUCCAUUAUAAAUACCUACUUUAUGGAAUUCUGUGACAGCAGCAUGAAAGAAAUUAAGGCAUUGAGUUUCCCAGUGAAGUUCUGGACGACCACGCUGGUGUUCCUCAGUAUUUUCCCCAGGGAGAUUGGGCGACAUGGUCCCUAA
rnacentral:lncRNA from 1 species